AGUGAACGCUGGCGGUAGGCCUAACACAUGCAAGUCGAACGGCAGCACAGUAAGAGCUUGCUCUUACGGGUGGCGAGUGGCGGACGGGUGAGGAAUACAUCGGAAUCUACUUUUUCGUGGGGGGUAACGUAGGGAAACUUACGCUAAUACCGCAUACGACCUACGGGUGAAAGCAGGGGAUCUUCGGACCUUGCGCGAUUGAAUGAGCCGAUGUCGGAUUAGCUAGUUGGCGGGGUAAAGGCCCACCAAGGCGACGAUCCGUAGCUGGUCUGAGAGGAUGAUCAGCCACAAUGGAAAUGAGACACGGUCCAGAAUCCUAAGGGAGGCAGCAGUGGGGAAUAUUGGACAAUGGGCGCAAGCCUGAUCCAGCCAUACCGCGUGGGUGAAGAAGGCCUUCGGGUUGUAAAGCCCUUUUGUUGGGAAAGAAAAGCAGCAGGUUAAUACCCCGCUGUUCUGACGGUACCCAAAGAAUAAGCACCGGCUAACUUCGUG
rnacentral:rRNA from 1 species